AUUCAUUAAACCGUGACGCAGGCUCACUGGUUCGUUAUGGGCAACUCUCUUUUAUGGAUAUGGAAACAUCCUGUGCUUAUACAUGGUUAACUGCACCAGCAAGUCAUUCUUUGCGGUAGCUACAAUUGGUUUGAUCUCAUGGAUAGGACUGGCUUUGUGGAGAGAUGCAGUGGCUUAUGGUCACAACUCGCCGUUUAGAUCUUUGAAAGAACUCGUUUUUGGACCAUAAUAAACUCAAUUAGAGAGUGUAAACACCAUACACGCGUUUAUUUCAUUCAAGCAAGUCGGUUCAUACACAUGUAUUAUUAUUAUUAUUAUUUUCCUGAGUUGUUGUAUAAAACGACUAUUUUGUGUAAUUAAAGAGAUUAAAAUAUAUUCUACAAA